CGUAGGAUCAUUGAGAGCUUCUGAUCCGUCAUCCCGCAAUCCCUUAGAAUUUCAAUGUUAGGCUGGAUCGUCUUCUCGAUGCUAUACCCGAGUAACCACCUGUUUCUCUUCCAUAUCUUCAUCAGUAAGUCGUUGGACCCGAGGAGGCCUUGCCAUAAUUGGAUCUUCGACAAGAUGGUCUGGGAAUUGUCGCUGAUGACGUCGUUANNNNNNNNNNNNNNNNNNNNNNNNNNNNNNNNNNNNNNNNNNNNNNNNNNNNNNNNNNNNNNNNNNNNNNNNNNNNNNNNNNNNNNNNNNNNNNNNNNNNNNNNNNNNNNNNNNNNNNNNNNNNNNNNNNNNNNNNNNNNNNNNNNNNNNNNNNNNNNNNNNNNNNNNNNNNNNNNNNNNNNNNNNNNNNNNNNNNNNNNNNNNNNNNNNNNNNNNNNNNNNNNNNNNNNNNNNNNNNNNNNNNNNNNNNNNNNNNNNNNNNNNNNNNNNNNNNNNNNNNNNNNNNNNNNNNNNNNNNNNNNNNNNNNNNNNNNNNNNCGGCGGAAUAAGAAUGGGUUGCGAGAAAAAGGGCAGCAUCGGCCGGACGACAGCAAGGGACGAAGGCAAGGGCUUUGGACAAGAGAGAGACGUAGGGCGACCUAUUCAUCAAUGUCAUCGUCUUCUUCUUCUUCUUCUUCUUCUUCUUUGUAGGUUCCUUCUCUUUACCAAAACCUAGCGAAGGUGGCGUAGCUGCGUAUAGAGGAGCGCGUUUAGGCCGGAAGUACCUGCGUCUUAAACCCUAGAAGUGCGUUACCGUGUUCGACAUUUUUUUUUCGGGCGGAGAUUACUGCGACCGCAGGCAUCUUUUUUUUCUUCGUCAACUUUUAGUUUGUUGAGGGGAGAAAAAACUUUUAUUGCGUGCCAACUAAAGAUAAUAAAAGGUGUUCUUUUAGAAAAAAGUUGCACUAUUAUUUUUUUAUCUUGGGUGUAUUUUUUAUAGUUAGAACAAAAAUAUACCCUUAAUCUUCUAUUAAAAAUGACUUGAUCAGCUAUUAAAAAAUUGAUAAUUAAUUAUCAAACAAAUUUUAAAAAAUAUAAAAAGCUAUACUAAUCAUUUUAAAAUCAAUAGAUAUGUAUCGAAGAUGAUUAAUAUCUAUUUUUUAUUUUAAAAACUUUAUAAUUAAUUAUCAAAUUAUAAUUUAUUUAAAUAAUAUAUAUGAUUAAGUCACAUAAGUUAAAAAUAUAAGAGUGUUUUUUGUCUAUAUAAAAAAUACCUAAGUAAAAAUGAAUAUGGAGGAUUUCAUCGAUAAAAAAAACUAAUACUAAAAAUUAUUUUUUUUAUAAAAGACCCAACAUAAAUGAAUGAAUGUUAUAAAAUAACUUAUUCGUCAUAAAAUUUGAUGGAUUAAUACAUAUGCUACUCUAAUUAUCAAGUUAAAGUUAAUAAUAAAAAAUUCAUGUAAUCUUUAAUGUCAUCGUAACCAUCAACUAUUUAUGAUGUGAAUGGAAAACCUACUCAUUAUUCACUUAAAAAUCUAUUCAAUAGAUUUUCACCGUAUAGGGAACCAAUAGAGACUCACAAACACGUCGACUAUCUUGCUACUGAGAAUUAAUACAAACAUAUGCUAACUAUGAAACAAAGCCCAAGGCAACUUCUAUCUAGAAAUUAAUAAUCAUUAGAUGAUCAUAUUCAUACUAAAAAUAGAAAGUCAUUCAUCUCAUUAAGAAGGUGCACCUUGAUAAUUACUUUUGAUUUAGAAUCGAUUAUAUUUGAUUUAACAUAUUGACAAGCAUUGUAAUUGUUAUGAAUAUCCUUCUACGGAAUCAAAUAGUUUGCAUAAUAUAUCUCACAUUUAUAAAGGCUUCUUCUCAUAUUUAUUAUUUUUCAAUAUCGAAGAAUUAUUCUGUCAGCUUAAGGGAUUUAUACUUGAUCUAGCAGGCUCUUUAUGCAAAGUAACUCAAAAUCUCUUUUCAAUUUGUAUCUCAAAAUUGUUAUAAUACCUGACUGUUUUUAAUGGUUCUUUAUAAUUGAAUAAGAUAUAUAAUAAAAUUAAUUAGAUUUUGAUAACGGAUAUUAGUUAAUAGAAAGAAGUAUCAAAAUAGGGCCAAGUGGGAAAAUAUCUUAUUAAUUAAUGAGUUAAGUGAGAGAAUAUCAAAAUAUAUGACCCUUUAUAAUUAAAUAAGAUAUCUAAUAAAACCGAUUGAAUUCUGAUAACGGAUAUUAGCUAAUAGAAAGGAAGUUGAUAUUAUAAUAUGAUUCCUUAUGGUACGCACUUGAUGAGAGGACUCUCAUAAUUACUUAUCAUAUACCCUCUAAUCUCGCAUAUAAAUAGAUAGAACCUCCUAGGUCUAAUGACAUGAUGUUUAUGUGACGUGAUGAUCGUGGACACAUACAUAAGAUACGAUAGGUGACAUUGAGAGAUUACGGUUCCUUUCUCAUCAUCUCUUAUCACUGAACUAUCAAUAACUAUAGUCUUGUGAAAAUGUAGACAGAGAUGGGAAGUGUUUAGUUCUCUUUGUAGAUCAAUAUUUGAUAUAGAUGUUUUUGCUCCACACAAACUCAUCUGCCACUAAGGCCAACAAGAGAGUUCCAGGUCACCAGCUCCAAAAUGGCACCAUAGUACAUUCUGAUAACCAUCCUACUUUAUUAAGAUCAAAGAAUGAUCAGGUGAUUCAACUAAUCUUAUCCAAGGCUAGCUAAUAAAAGGCCUAGGGAUUAAGUAUAAAAAAGAAACUCAUUAACUCAAGCUAAGAGGGGGGACUUUCUACGUACUAACCUAGUUAUACAACUUACACCACUAUCUUUUCCCUUUCGCUGACUUAAGCAUCGGAAGGGAUGCGUUGGGCAACUCCCAAUACUGGCCUAUCAUGCAAGAUUGCUAAUGGCCAAGAGACGACAUCACUCUUAGGAUGCAGCCAUGCAACCACGAGACAAUCCUUCAUUCGAGGACACAUGGAUGACCCAACCCCAGGGAAGAACGUCGCAACCAAGAAGACUCCAAACCCCCUACCCGAUCAUCCCGAAUCGGGUCCUCACCAAUAGAACGAUGUCUGAUCGGACCGCCUAUGUUGUCUCACUCAUCGGGUCACCCACAUCAGUCAAGAAAAGGCACCUGGGUAAACUUGCACCUUCGAUAGUGGAUCAACCGUGUUGAGUUAUUAGUCGAUGGUACUCAUGACACCAUCAAUAUCCUUAUAAUAUUUGAAUAUGAGGAUGGUGAUCCUACAUAGAUAGAGAAUUUUUUAGAUGACUUUGAAAGGUGUGUAAUAAAAUCUAAUAUAUCUUAUUUGAUUUCAAUCCCGAUAUUAAAAUUAAUAUAUAGCAUAUAAUAUAUUUUAUGCUUGGAACUUGCUAUGUGUCCUCUUUCCCUCUUCUUUCUACCCUUUACAUCUCUCUACAAUAAUCAUUAUUACAAUCCAAAAGCUAACCGUAAAUUAAGCAAAAGAGGUAAAUGGAACAAAAAACCACUUUUGGGACCCUGCCCUGUUUCUAUGUUGUCCCAAAAAGCCAAGUACCUAAAAAGCUUUUUCUUUGUCUCUAGAAUAGCUAAACAUGGCCAAAUUAAGUUGAGAUUUUGGCAGCAGAGAAGAGCGGAACAUAACUAAAACUUGUGCAAAACCAAGUGAAGAAUUGGUAAAUGAGUGCUUAUAUUUUACCUUGAUUUAAAGUAUCGAUGCUGAACCCACAUCUUGCCAAUGAAGUAUAAUGAAUUCAACCUCAAUCGUAAAGUAAGAACAGGAGGUAAAAGAAUGAACGCCAACCAUGGCCAUUUGCAAAGGAGAUGAUCAAACGAAUCCUUGCGUGCUAGGAGAUUGGAGGUGGGUUAAGCCAACACCAUCAUCCACAUACCCAAUAAUUACGCUCAGGUUAGAUAAGAUUCCAUGAGAAACUCACAUGCCUCAUUACGGUUAACUUGUUAGAUUUACCACUUCGUUUGGAUCAGAAGAUAAAUCCAUCCAGUAGAUAACAAGGAUUUGAAGCCCUUGCUCUGUGUAUGUAAUCUCUAGUGUGUUGUCAGAUCUAAGUCGAGGAAGAUAAAAGACACGAGAUGUAUGAGUUGAUAUAUCAUAUGCUUAAGAAAGUUCAAAAUAAUUUCUCAUGAUUUUCCAUUAGAUUAUUGUGGAAUUCCAAGUCGUAGACAAAGCAUGUACCUUUUGGAGUUCUUCGUACGUACACAAUAUCUUGUGACAGACAUCUUUAUUAAGAUCUUUGGUUAUUUGCAGACAAAAGAUAAGUACUGCACAGACGAAGGAUCAUAAGCACACUUCGUUAACCCAAGAAACCUGACUGAUUUGUACUCAUGUAAAGACUGAUCAUAAAGUAAGCAUUCUAAACCGUGCACUGAGAUGGAGCAUUGUGGUGAUGAGAUUAAACUGACUAACCCAGAAUUAAAAAGUAAAGAUUUAAUUUCUACAAUGAAAAUGAUGGAAGAGGUGCUAAUAACUUGUGAAAUGUGUAUGCUUUGAUAUGCAUUUGAUGGAGUUGUGUGCAUGCAUCAAAACCAAAUUUCAGUUGUCAGAUAUCAUUACUGAUUUGUUGGUAAUUAGUUCCACAAAUUGUUAUACCAGCUUGGGAAAAGAAUCUGUACAUGUCAUAACAUGUUAGAACAAUAAACACCAUGAUCUUAUAAAAGAAAAGUACUCGUUCUUUAAUCCUAUGUGGAAGGUCUCAUAAAAAACUUGAACAAUUUUAUGAAAAAACUUCACAUUUUAUUUUUUUAAAAAAAAUUGUAAAUAUUUUUCCCUUUUUUUUUUUCCGAACAUGAGCAUAUUGAUCCAAAAUGGUGCACUAAUCUAAAUAGAUAGAUUUGAUCAUUUAAGGCUGGGAGUCCAUUUAGAUGAUUUAUAAUAUUUAUAAAUAGAUUUUAUAGUAUUUUUGUUGUGAUGAUCGAAACAUUAUAAAAGGUUAAACAUUAUAGGCUUGUAAUUAGUUUGAUUGAGGUUUAGUUUAUUUAUGGUAUGCUUUACAAUAUUUUUCAUGGCUAAUAAAAACAUUAUAAUAAACUAAUUUUUUACUCCUAUUUGGAUGAUAUUAUUAUUAAAUUAUUAUAAAUACAUAGUAUGAUAUAUCAAAUUAUUUCUAGUGUGUUUGGAUUUCUCAGUUAUAGUAUUUUUAAAUAACGUUAUAGUGUUUUUGUAAGGUGUAAAGCCAUUGAAAAAUAGUAUUUUUCAAUUGUUCAUCUUUGAUUAUCAUUGAUCGUAGAUCAUUACAGCCUAUAGUUGGUUUGACCGAGUCCAUUUGGGUCAUUUAUAAUAUUUUUAUUAUUAUGAUCAAAAUACUAUAAAAAUUAAUUUUUGAUCCUCAGUAAUGAUCAUGCUACUGUACAAAACCAAUCAAUCAACUUGGAUUCACACACCUAUAGAUCGGUCUAAAAGGUAUCCAUGAAAUUAGCGGGAAAAAUAUCAUUGAGACCGGUAAGAGAUACUUUCGGUAUUAUUCAAAAUAGAAGGGAGAAACAUGAGACAUAAUUUAGAAUAAUAAUAAUAAUAAUAAUAAUAAUAAUAAUAAUAAUAAUAAUAAUAAUAAUAAUAAUAAUAAUAAUAAUAAUAAUAAUAAAAGAGAGCUUUUGCUGACAAACAAAUUCCUUGAUUUGUGCGCUGUAGUUGUAGGGUCAUUUAGACUUUGCAGCAUCAGAGAGUUCCCCUCUUCCCAACUCCUGUUUACUUAACAAUGAGCAUGAAUAUACGCCUACGACCAAAAAUUCCAUUUGGCGCCCGCAAAAUAUGGCUGCAGAAACUAAAUCCGGUGAAGAAAUGAAUGCCAUUUGCCCUUCACUUGCAUCUCAUAGGAGCAAAAGAAGGGGAAAAGAAUCUGGGCAUAAAAUCUAGUUAGCUAGAGUUUGGAUGCUUUCAUCUCAAGAAAUCUCUCUUUUUAUAUUUUCUUAAAGUUCAGUAGAUUCAAUGUAGAAGGCAUUGCAAUUUUCUACCUGUUUCUUCCUUUCUAUCUUUUCUUUUGGAAAAACAAAAGGAUGGCCAGAAUAUGCACAUUUUGGUUAUAUAUUCUCAACAAUGAUGAGAAUAAGAACAAUGAUAUGACUGCAGACAGGACCAAUAUCUAUGUUUUCAGAAAAUACAACCGAUAAGUCGUCAAAUGAACAGCAGUGCUGUGUGCAUUAGUCUUUAUAAAGUAUAAAUUCCACAUCAUACUUCACUUGAUCUCCAUCAAUAUGGUGGAAACAAAUUUAAAAGAAAGUUCAGUUUGAUAUGAUGUAAAACAAGAUAUCUCAUUCUUUGUUUGAUCUAAUUACAAAAAGUUAUGCUCAGAUCUAUAUCAUUUCUUAGUCUAGAGUAUAUUUGAACACACAACAAUAACAUUAAUUGCAAGCCAUAAUGAGCAGAUGUUGCCAAUCAGAAAUCUUAAAUUCGGGAAGCAGGGAUGAUACCGCAUUACCAACAAAACCUGAUAAUAACGAUUAAAAAUAAAUUGAUCUUGUUUAGCAAGCAAUUUUAGAGGGCAUAAAAUCCUAGAACAUAUAUAGUUCUACAAGUUGAAAGGAUCUCAGUCCUUUUAGAGACAAAAUCCCCCACAAAAAGUAUCAAGCCUUGCAAACAGCAUCAGUCUUUUCCUACUGAAAGAACCUGACCCUAUCCAGCAGCUAGUUCUGAGGCAGUACAGUACAUGUAUAAUUCUUCGCUGAUAACGACUCAAGCCUUUGUUAGGAAAACAUCUCUACGAUGAUCAACAUGCGAUAGGGUGCAAGUCAUCUAAAACUUCUCUUGAUCCCGAUAACUCAACAGGAGUAAGCAGUGCUUCAGUUUAAUUUAACCAAGUACCUACCUGCCAGAGACACUGCUGUUAAUUCUCCAAGGCCAAUAAUGUAUGAAUACCUAAGAAAAAGCACAAUGCAAAAGAUUGGAACUAGGACACAUACAACAUUUACUGGAGAUUAGCAUGCUACAAUACCUCAGGGAAGUUAUAUUGACGUAUUUGUCCAGAGACAACAAAACAACAAAGUCUUAAGAAAAGGAACACACCAAAAUAUUAAAAAUCGGACGAAUGGCUGAGACUAUCAUGCUAUACUACAACAGAAUAGCAUAUAUAAGAAUCUGGAGAACCAAGGGCUGGAAUCAAAUUUGAGAUUACAUGUUGCCAUUAGGCAAUAUAUUUAGAGAUGCCCUAUUGUCACAUUGAAGCACAAGUUUGUAACAUAAAAACAACCUGCAUAAUUUGACAUAUUAACUAGACUUCCAGAUCACAUUUUUGUUUGAUAGCUAUUACAGCUUUGACAAAAAUAAGACACCGAACAAAGGAUGCAAAAGAAACAUAUAGUAGCAAAAGCCAAAAAUGUUGAAAUGUGGAUUUUCAUAGUACAUAAACCAGUAUAACUACAUAUCAUAAAUAUAACCAAAGAUUCUAACGGUUAGAAAUAUCUUGACUUCAGUCUGACUGUGGGUAAAAUACAUUUCAGGAAGGCUGAAAUUGGUGUCAUCUGACAGCGGACAAAAUACAUUUUGGGAAGGGGGAAAUUGGCCUACAAGAAGUCAGCAAGUCUCAUUUCUCUUUCAUUACCUGAAGGCUGGCAAUGGUUGAAUUCUCCCUAGCAAAGUAACUCCUAGAAUUAUAUUUCCUUUUCCAAUUUGUUCAACAUAUCCUUACUAAUGUAAUCAAACUAGCACACUGCAGAUGCCAACCUCUGGAAGGUAACACAUACUAAAAGAGCAAUUUCCAAGAACCUUGUUAAUCCACUUCUUUUGCACCAAACACUCUGCAAAUGGAGCUAACACCCCAAGUAUUUUUUAUUGAUAAGAACAAUUUAUGAUCGAUACAAGACAACCUCUGGACAGUAACACCUACUAAAAUAUCAAUUUCCUAGAUCACUGCUAAUCCGCUUCUUUUGCACCAAACACCCUGCAUAUGGAGCUAACAAUCAAGUACUUUUGAUUGAUAAGAACAUUUUAUGCACUGAACACUCAAUAUGACCCAACCCAAAAAAUGAGAGGAUCGCACCCUCCGGAAAUUUAUGAUCCCGACAUCUGUAACGCACAGAGCACAAUAAUAAUAUUCAUUGACAAUAACUGAAAAUACAUCCCAUCAAGUGUCAUCAUUAUUACUGGAGUAAACAUCUAACUAUACUUUUAUUAAAUAUCAUAUAACAAUCUUCACCUUGCUAGAAUCGAACACUUCUCAAUCCAUAGUUCCCCAGCUACGGAUCAUCUGAAAUAUGUAAUUUUCAGAUCGAUAGGGAUUAUCUUAGUAGAAACAAGAUGUCAAGAAAUCUAGUUGUCUCAUGCAAUCAGCAAAAGAUAAGAAUAAUAAUGAAAAAAGAGUAUAACUUAGAAUAAAAGAUCUCACAAAUUCAUCAUGAGAAAAGCACAUCCAUUAGUGCACUUUGCUGCAUCGGAACUCGUCCGACUGCUCAGGAUGAAGCAACCUCCUUAUAGACUAAAUUCAUAUCACAUUCCCUGCUAUUAGUCCAUUACUAGGAUCAAGUGGUGCCCGGCAACAGUAGAAAUACGUCUUUCUAUGGAUGCAAGGAAUAUCUUAUAAGCUUCUAUGACGACUACUAAUCCCUUUCAAAAUUGCCUACUAAUCAUGACAAUGUUGUUCAAUCAUCCAUAUAUGUAUAUAUCAACAUGCUGCACAACCAUGCAACAACAUCCUUUCACAUGCUCAAGCGUCCAACUUAUGCAUCAUGGCACUUCUAACAAAUAUUAAUUAUAGGCUACAAUAGAGGCAUCAAUAUAAAAUUGAUUGCCAAAAGAAAUAUGAUCUAAUAACAGCAUAUUAAAAUUUCAUCAUGUCAGCAUAAAGAGAAUCUAGGUUUUAUGAGGCACCUAACACUAUAUUGAUCAUCCAAAUUGGAUACAGAGUCCAAAAAAGUUAUUAUUGAUUUACAAUUCAGUCCUCAAAAUUUACAAUCAUUUCUUCAAUACAUUGCAAACCAGUCCCUAGCAGUCUUAAUGGGCAGGACCUUAGGCAGCCACGUGGAACUUGGUCUCACAGGCAGGACCACAUGGAGUUGGCCUGUCUGAGCUGAAGUGCAUGAAGUUUAGACCACCCCCGUACUCAAAUGCUUAAAUUGGUAAAGGACAACUUGUACAUUCCAGUGCUUAAAUUGAGAACAAAACAUUGGCAAUACGGAAAGUGUGGUUUCCUUCAUAAAUCUAAGAGUUUCAACUUCAUUCUCAAGAAGACGGUCAGCUUCAAACUAUCAUGGUGGAAACCUGGUAUUCAUUAAGGUUUUGCAUUUAUAAAGAGAGAAAUUUCAACUGAAUUGACCGAUCAGCAAGAAGAAAGAAGUGGUUCAAACUAAUCACUUAAGAAAGAGAACAAAAUUUGAUAAACAAAAUAUACAAAAAAUUGAAACCCAACCUCAUUUCCCUUUUUUGGGUUUCGGGUUUGGUUUUGGAAUGGAGGGACUUUAGUAAAUUUAUAUAAAAGGUGACCAACCCUUGCCCUAAAUCAAAAGCCUCAUCAUCCAGCUCAAAAUCACCAAAGCAUCCAACCAUACCAUCCAAAAGAAUCCUACUUCUUAUCAUUUGAAAAAAUUAACCAAAACUCGAAACCUAAAUUACCAAAUAUCCGAAGUCAAAUCAAUUCAAAACUUCAGGUGUCCAAUAACCUACAUAAGUCUGAUAUCUUCCAGUAGACUUAAAACAAAUAGGACAAGAAUAACAAUUCUAUGUGGCGUCUACACAAGUGAUUAUAAACAAGCAAUUAACUCUAUCGGCAAUUUCAUCACAAAUCUUCUCAACAUUCUUCAUUUUCUUACUACGUGUAAGCAUCCAAACUCAUAUUACAUUCACAGAAACGAAGUAAAUGGCAGGAAUUAUUUGGUCGCAAACUGUAGAUCAUGUUAUGCGGAUAGUGGAAAAUUGGAACCUGGAAACAUAACUUGCUGGUACAAAAGCUUGUGCUAUGCAUUAUGCAUUUCCACGAUCAAAUGCAGUGAUGUUUUUGGGGACUCCAUUAUACAACUCAAUGAGUUCUGGAUACUCCUUGUAGCGGUUGACGAACUUCUCCACAAAUUUCUUCUCUGAAUAUUUCACGUAUGUAGACAUACUAAGGUUACUGAUGCAAACUCCCCUAGACUUCAGGCCUGUCACAAUCUGAUGCCUUGGCAUCAACCUUUUCUCCAAACUGCACAACAAAAUAUCUGGCCGAAGUGCAAUAUGAGAUGGAGCACAUCCGGCUUCAUUUACCAAGAACUCCAACUUCCUCUGCAAACUCUUUAAAGAAAUUUGCACAAACGUAGGAGCCUUUCUGAAUGCAGCAAGGAAAUCAUCCUCGGACCACCCGAAGCCCUCGAAGAACUCCAAGUGAGCCUUGAAGUUAUUCUCGGAGACGUUGUGGAGCACAGUCAGGGUCAAGGGGAACAUCCCUGAGGUGCAAGCUACUCCCAAACCCUCGGCACGACUGAUUAACGCCUUCAGGGUUUCAGCAUUCCGGGUUAUGAGGAGAGGAUAUUGCCUUAGGAUCAUUGAGAGCUUCUGAUCCGUCAUCCCGCAAUCCCUUAGAAUUUCAAUGUUAGGCUGGAUCGUCUUCUCGAUGCUAUACCCGAGAAACCUCCUGUUUUUCUUGCACAAGUUCAUCAGUAAGUCGUUGGACCCGAGGAGGCCUUGCCAUAAUUGGAUCUUGGACAAGAUGGUCUGGGAUUUGUCGCUGAUGACGUCGUUAUUCGAUCUGACGAGGUGGGUGAUGUCGGAGCAGGAGAAGCCCAGAUCCUGCAAAGCUCGGAACUUUGGGGCCAGGGUCUUCUCCACGUCGAGGAGAAGCCACCGGGGGUUUGCAGAUAUGACCUUUUUCACCUGGGUGUUGUCAAAACCGUAGCUUUUAAAAAAGCCAAGGACGGAGUCAGGCUGGUGGCGGGAUUCGACGCGACCAAGGAGCUUCGAGGCUUUGGCCGCCUGAUCAGGAUGGAAGCCACAGUAGCUGACCAGGUAUUCAGCCAUAAGGCUGCUCUCUGGAGCACCGGAGGCGGCGGAAUAAGAAUGGGUUGCGAGAAAAAGGGCAGCAUCGGCCGGACGACAGCAAGGGACGAAUGCAAGGGCUUUGGACAAGAGAGAGACGUAGGGCGACCUAUUCAUCAAUGUCAUCGUCUUCUUCUUCUUCUUCUUCUUCUUUGUAGGUUCCUUCUCUUUACCAAAACCUAGCGAAGGUGGCGUAGCUGCGUAUAGAGGAGCGCGUUUUGGCCGGAAGUACCUGCGUCUUAAACCCUAGAAGUGCGUUACCGUGUUCGACAUUUUUUUUUUCUGGCGGAGAUUACUGCGACCGCAGGAGUCUUUUUUUUCUUUGUCAACUUUUAGUUUGUUGAGGGGAGAAACAACUUUUAUUGCGUGCCAACUAAAGAUAAUAAAAGGUGUUCUUUUAGAAAAAAUUUGCACUAUUAUUUUUUUAUCUAGGGUUUAUUUUUUAUAGUUAGAACAAAAAUAUACCCUUAAUCUUCUAUUAAAAAUGACUUGAUCAGCUAUUAAAAAAUUGAUAUCAAAAAUUUUUAAAAAAAUAUAAAAAGCUAUGCUAAUCAUUUUAAAAUCAAUAGAUAUGCAUCGAAGAUGAUUAAUAUCUAUUUUUAUUUUAAAAAUUUUUAUAAUUAAUUAUCAAAUUAUAAUUUAUUUAAAUAAUAUCUAUGAUUAAGUCACAUAAGUUAAAAUAUAAGAGUGUUUUUUGUCUAAAUAAAAAUACCUAAAUAAAAAUGAAUAUGGAGGGUUUCAUCGAUAAGAAAACUAAUACUAUAAAUUAUUUUUUUAUAAAAGACCCGACAUACAUGAAUGAAUGCUAGAAAACAACUAAUCCAUCAUAAAAUUUGAUGAACUAAUACAUAUGUAUUCUAAUUAUCAAGUUAAAGUCAACAAUAAAAAAUUCAUGUAAUCUUUAAUGCCAUCAUAACCAUCAACUAUUUAUGAUGUGAAUGGCAAAACCGCUCAUUGUUCACUUAAGAAUCUACUCAUUAGAUUUUCACUAGAUAGAGAACAGACAACAACUCGUAAACAUGUCAACUAUCUUACUAGAAACAUACACUAUCUAUGAAACAAUGCCCAAGGCAACUUCUAUCUAGAAAUUAAUAAUAAUUAGAUGAUCAUGUUCACACUCAAAAUAGAAAGUCAUUCAUCCUAUAAUCAUUAACUUAUUAUAUCCAUACCAAGAUUAAGAAAGUAUCCCGAUGAUUAACAUUGAUUUAGAUUCGAUUAUAUUUGAUUUAACAUAUUGACAAAUAUUGUAAUUGGUAUAUAUAUCCUUCGACGGAAUCAAAUAAUUUGGGUAAUAUAUCUCACGGCUAAUUCUCACUCUUUAUUAUUUUUCAAUAUCGAAAAAUUAUUCUGUCAGUUUAAGGGAUAUAUACUUGAUCUAGCUAGCUCUUUAUACAAAGUAACUCAAAAUCUCUUUUCAAUUUAUCAUCUCAAAAUUAUUAGAAUACAUGACUCUUUAUAAUUGAAUAAGAUAUAUAAUAAAAUUAAUUAGAUUUUAAUGACGAAUAUUAGUCAAUAGAAAGAAAUAUCAAAAUAUGUGCCAAGUGAGAGAAUAUCUUAUAAAUUAAUGGGCUAAGUGAGAGAAUAUCAAAUAUGUGACCCUUUAUAAUUGAAUAAGAUAUAUAAUAAAACUAAUUAGAUUAUGAUAAUGGAUAUUAGCCAAUAGAAAGAAAGUUUAUAUUAUAGUAUGAUUCCUUAGGGGGUGCCCUUGAUGGGAGGAACUCUCUUAAUUAUUUAUCAUAGACUCUCUACUCUCGUCUAUAAAUAGAUGGGACCUCAUAGGGACUAAUGACAUGAUGUUUAUAUGAUGUAAUGGUCAUGAACACAUACACGAGAUACAAUAUGUGACAAUGAGAGAUUACGAUUCCUUUCUCAUCCUCUCUUGUCUCUGAACCAUUAAUAACUAUAAUCUUGUGAAAAGGUAGAAAGAGAUGAGGAGUGUUUAGUUCUCCUUGUAGAUCGACAUUUGAUAUAAACGAUUUUGCCCCACACAAACUCAUCUACCACUAAGGCCAACACCUAUGGAGAGUUUCAGGUCAUUAGCUUCGAAAUGGCACCAUAGUGUCGAUAACCAUCCUACUUUAUUAAGAUCAAAGAAUAAUCAGGUGAUUUUGCUAAUCUUAUCCAAGGCCAACCAAUAAAAGGCCUAGGGAUCAAGUAUAAAAAGGAACUCAUUAACUCACGCUGAGAGGGGGGACUCUCUAUACACUAACCUAGUCAUACAGCUUACACUACUAUCUUUCCCCUUUCACUGACUUAAGCAUCGGAAGGAAUGCGUUGGGCAACCCCUAAUGCUGGCCUAUCAUGCAAGAUUGCUGACGGUCAAGUGAUGAUCGGACCCAAUCCUUGUCAAUAGAACCUCGUAAUCUUUAAUGCCAUCAUAACCAUCAACUAUUUAUGAUGUGAAUGGCAAAACUGCUCAUUGUUCACUUAAGAAUCUACUCAAUAGAUUUUCACUAGAUAGAGAACAGACAACGACUCGUAAACAUGUCAACUAUCUUACUAGAAACAUACACUAUCUAUGAAACAAUGCCCAAGGCAACUUCUAUCUAGAAAUUAAUAAUAAUUAGAUGAUCAUGUUCACACUAAAAAUAGAAAGUCAUUCAUCCUAUUAUCAUUAACUUAUUAUAUCCAUACCAAGAUUAAGAAAGUAUCCUGAUGAUUAACUUUGAUUUAGAAUCGAUUAUAUUUGAUUUAACAUAUUGACAAACAUUGUAAUUGGUAUAUAUAUCCUUCGACGGAAUCAAAUAAUUUGGGUAAUAUAUCUCACGGCUAAUUCUCACUCUUUAUUAUUUUUCAAUAUCGAAAAAUUAUUCUGUCAGUUUAAGGGAUAUAUACUUGAUCUAGCUAGCUCUUUAUACAAAGUAACUCAAAAUCUCUUUUCAAUUUAUCAUCUCAAAAUUAUUAGAAUACAUGACUCUUUAUAAUUGAAUAAGAUAUAUAAUAAAAUUAAUUAGAUUUUGAUGAAAACUAUUAGUCAAUAGAAAGGAAUAUCAAAAUACGUGCUAAGUGGGAGAAUAUCUUAUAAAUUAAUGGGCCGCCUCCGGUGCUCCAGAGAGCAGCCUUAUGGUUAAUAAAAACACUAUACGUGCUAAGUGGGAAAUUCCUAUGAUGGCUAAUAAAAACACUAUAAUAAACUAAUUUUACUCUUAUUUGGAUGAUAUUAUUGUUAAAUUAUUUUAAAUAUAUGAUAUAUCAAAUGGUUUGUAGUAUGUUUGGAUUUCUCAGUUAUAGUAUUUUUUAAAUAACAUUAUAGUGUUUUUAUAAGGUGUAAAGCAAUUGAAAAAUCUUUGAUUAUCGUUGAUCGUAAAUGUGUAGUUAGUUUGACUGAAUCUAUUCGGGUUAUUUAUAAUAUUUUUAUUAUGAUAAUCAAAAUACUAUAAAAAUUAAUUUUUGAUUCUCAUUUUGAUGACCAAACUAUUGUGUAAAUCAUAUAAAUCAGAUCAUGCUACUGUACAAACCAAUCCAUCAACUUGGAUUCAAACACCGAUAUAUCGGUCUAUAAGGUAUCUAUGAAACUAGUGGGAAAAAUAUCAUUGAGGCUGGUAAGAAAUACUUUCAGUAUUAUUCAAAAUAGAAGGUAUCAUUUGAGAAAUAUGAGACAUCUUUUAGGAAAAUAAUAAUAAAAAAAGUGAGACAUCUUCGAAAUCACCCGAAAACUUUUGCUCACUUGUUUACUAGGGUCUUCUAGACUUUGCAGCAUCAAGAGAGUUCCUCUCCUCCGAACUCCUGUUUACCUAACAUCUCUACGAUGAUCAACAUGCGUUAGGGUGCAAGUCAACUAAAACUUCCCUUGAUCCCGAUAACUCAACAAGAGUAAGCAGUGCUUCAGUUUAAUUUGACCAAGUACGUGCCUGCCAGAGACACUGCAGUUAAUUCUACAAGGCCAAUAAUGUAUGAAUACAUAAGAAAAAGCUCAACGCAAAAGAUUGGAAGAUUAUUUUGAUGUAUUUGUACAGAGAAAACAAUACAACAAAGUCUUUAGAAAAGGAACACACCAAAAGAUUAAAAAUAGGACGAAUGGCUGAGACUAGCAUGCUAUACUAUAUAAGAAUCUGGAGAACCAAGGGUGGAAUCAAAUUCGAGAUUACAUGUUGCUAUUAGGCAAUAAAUUUAGAGAUGCUCUAUUGUCACAUUGAAGCACAAGUUUGUAACAUAAAAAACAACCUGCAUAAUUUGACAUAUUAACUAGACUUCCAGAUCAACUUUUUGUUUGAUAGCUAUUACAGCUUUGACAAAAAUAAGACACCGAACAAAGGAUGCAAAAGAAACAUAUAGUAGCAAAAGCCAAAAAAGUUGAAAUGUGGAUUUUCAUAGUACAUAAACCAGUAUAACUACAUAUCAUAAAUAUAACCAAAGAUUCUAACUGUUAGAAAUAUCUUGACUUCAGUCUGAGUGUGGGUAAAAAACAUUUCAAGAAGGCUGAAAUUGGUGUCAUCUGACAGCGGACAAAAUACAUUUUGGGAAGGGAGAAAUUGGCCUACAAGAAGUCAGCAAGUCUCAUUUCUCUUUCAUUACCUGAAGGCCGGCAAUGGUUGAAUUCUCCCUAGCAAAGUAACUCCUAGAAUUAUAUUUCCUUUUCCAAUUUGUUCAACAUAUACUUACUAAUGUAAUCAAACUAGCACACUGCAGAUGCCAACCUCUGGAAGGUAACACAUACUAAAAGAGCAAUUUCCAAGAACCUUGUUAAUCCACUUCUUUUGCACCAAACACUCCGCAAAUGGAGCUAACACCCCAAGUAUUUUUUAUUGAUAAGAACAAUUUAUGAUCGAUACAAGACAACCUCUGGACAGUAACACCUACUAAAAUAUCAAUUUCCAAGAUCACUGCUAAUCCACUUCUUUUGCACCAAACACCCUGUAAAUGGAGCUAACAAUCAAGCACUUUUGAUUGAUAAGAACAUUUUAUGCACCGAACACUCAAUAUGACCCAACCAAAAAAAUGAGAGGAUCGCACCCUCCGUAAACUUAUGAUCCAGACAUCUGUAACGCACAGAGCACAAUAAUAAUAUUCAUUGACAAUAAUGGAAAAUGCAUCCCAUCAAGUCUCAUCAUUAUUACUGGCGUACACAUCUAACUGUGCUUUUAUUAAAUAUCAGAUAACAAUCUUCACAUUGCUAGAACUGAAAAAUUCUCAAUCCUUAGCUACCCAGCUACGGAUCAUCUGAAAUAUGUACUUUUCAGAUCGAUAGGGAUUAUCUUAGUAGAAACAAGACGUCAAGAAAUCUAGUUGUGUCCCACGCAAUCAGCUAAAGAUAAGAAUAAUAAUGAAAAAAGAGCAUAAAUUAGGAUAAAAGAUCUCACAAAUUCAUCAUGAGAAAAGCACAUCCAUCAGUGCACUUUGCUGCAUCGGAACUCGUCCGAGGGAUGAAGCUACCUCCUUAUAGACUAAAUUCAUAUCACAUUACCUGCUAUUAGUCCAUUACUAGGAUCAAGUGGUGCCCGGCAACAGUCGAAAUACGCAUUUCUAUAGAUGCAAGGAAUAUCUUAUAAGCUUGUUUGACGACUACUAAUCCCUUUCAAAAUUGCCUACGAAUAAUGACAAUGUUGUUCAAUCAUCCAUAUAUGUAUAUAUCAACAUGCUGCACAACCAUGCAACAACAACCUUUCACAUACUCAAGCAUCCAACUUAUGCAUCAUGGCACUUCUAACAAAUAUUAAUAUGCGUCAAUUAUAGGCUAAAAUAGACGCAUCAAUAUAAAAUUUAUUGCCAAAAGAAAUAUGAACUAAUAACAGCAUAUUAAAAUUUCAUCACAUCAGCAUACAGAGAAUCUAGGUUUUAUGAGGCACCUAACACUAUAUUGCUCAUCCAAAUUGGAUACAGAGUUCAAAAAAGUUAUUAUCGAUUUACAAUUCAGUCCUUGAAAUUUACAAUCAUUUCUUCAUUACAUUGCAAACCAGUCCCUAGCAGUCUUAAUGGGCAGGCCCUUAGGCAGCCACGUGGAACUUGGUCUCAAAGGCAGGACCACAUGGAGUUGGCCUGUCUGAGCUGAAGUGCAUGAAGUUUAGACCACCCCCGUACUAAAAUGCUUAAAUUGGUAAAGGACAACUUGUACAUUCCAGUGCUUAAAUUGAGAACAAAACAUUGUCAAUACGGAAAGUGUGGUUUCCUUCAUAAAUCUAAGAGUUACAACUUCAUUCUCAAGAAGACAGUCAGCUUCAAACUAUCAUGGUGGCAACCUGGUAUUCAUUAAGGUUUUGCACUUAUAAAGAGAGAAAUUUCAACUGAAUUGACCGAUCAGCAAGAGGAAAGAAGUGGUUCAAACUAAUCACUUAAGAAAGAGAACAAAGUUUGAUAAACAAAAUAUACAAAAAAUUGAAACGCAACCUCAUCUACCUUUUUUGGGUUUUCGGUUUGGUUUAGGAUAUGAGGGACUUUAGUAAAUUUAUAUAAAAGGUGACCAACCCUUGCCCUAAAUCAAAAGCCUCAUCAUCCAGCUCAAAAUCACCAAAGCAUCCUACCAUACCAUCCAAAAGAAUCCUACUUCUUAUCAUUUGAAAAAAUAACCAAAACUCGAAACCUAACUUAGCAAAUAUCCAUAGUUAAAUCAAUCAAAACUUCACGUGUCCAAUAACCUACAUAAGUCUGAUAUCUUCCAGUAGACUUAAAACGAAUGGGACAAGAAUAACAAUUCCAUGUGGCGUCUACACAAGUGAUUAUCAACAAGCAAUUAACUCUAUCGGCAAUAUCAUCACAAAUCUUCUCAACAUUCUUCAUUUUCUUACUACGUGUAAGCAUCCAAACUCAUCUUACAUUCACAGAAAACGAAGUAAAUGGCAGGAAUUAUUUGGUCGCAAACUGUAGAUCAUGUUAUGCGGAUAGUGGAAAAUUGGAACCUGGAAACAUAACUUGCUGGUACAAAAGUUUGUGCUAUGCAUUAUGCAUUUCCACGAUCAAAUGCAGUUCUGUUUUUGGGGACUCCAUUAUACAACUCAAUGAGUUCUGGAUACUCCUUGUAGCGGUUGACGAACUUCUCCACAAAUUUCUUCUCUGGAUAUUUCGCGUAUGUAGACAUACUAAGGUUACUGAUGCAAACUCCCCUAGACUUCAGGCCUGUCACAAUCUGAUGCCUUGGCAUCAACCUUUUCUCCAAACUGCACAACAAAAUAUCUGGCCGAAGAGCAAGAUGAGAUGGAGCACAUCCGGCUUCAUUUACCAAGAACUCCAUCUUCCUCUGCAAACUCUUUAAAGAUAAUCCCACAAGCGUAGGAACCUUUCUGAAUGCAGCAAGGAAAUCAUCCUCGGACCACCCGAAGCCCUUGAAGAACUCCAAGUGAGCCUUGAAGUUCUUCUCGGUGAUUCUCUGGAGCACACACAGGGUAAGGGGGAAGAUCCCUGAGGUGCGAGGUACUCCCAAACCCUCGACACGACUGAUUAACGCCUUCAGGGUUUCAGCAUUCCGGGUUAUAAGGAGGGGGCGGUGCCGUAUGAUCAUUGAGAGCUUCUGAUCCGUGAUCCCGCAAUCCCUUAGAAUUUCAAUGUUAGGCUGGAUCGUCUUCUCGAUGCUAUACCCGAGAAACCUCCUGUUUUUCUUGCACAAGUUUACCAAAAAGUCGUUGGACUCGAGGAGGUCUUGCCAUAAUUGGAUCUUGGACAAGAUGUUCUCGGAUUUGUCGCUGGUGACGUCGUUAUUCGAUCUGACGAGGUGGGUGAUGUCGGAGCAGGAGAAGCCCAGAUCCUGCAAAGCUCGGAACUUUGGAGCCAGGGUCUUCUCCACGUCGAGGAGAAGCCACCGGGGGUUUGCAGAUAUGACCUUUUUCACCUGGGUGUUGUCAAAACCGUAGCUUUUAAAUAAGCCAAGGACGGAGUCAGGCUGGUGGCGGGAUUCGACGCCGCCAAGGAGCUUCGAGGCUUUGGCCGCCUGAUCUGGAUCGAAGCCACAGGAGCUGACCAGGUAUUCAGCCAUAAGGCUGCUCUGUGGAGCACCGGAGGUGGCGGAGUAAGAAUGGGUUGCGAGAAAAAGGGCAGCAUCGGCCGGACGACAGCAAGGGACGAAGGCAAGGGCUUUGGACAAGAGAGAGACGUAGGGCGACCUAUUCAUCAAUGUCAUCGUCUUCUUCUUCUUCUUCGUAGGUUCCUUCUCUUUACCAAAACCUAGCGAAGGUGGCGUAGUUGCGUAUAGAGGAGCGCGAUUAGGCCGGAAGUACCUGCGUCUUAAACCCUAGAAGUGCGUUACCGUGUUCGACAUUUUUCUGGUUGGCUAGUUAUUCCCUAGUCAUUUUACUGGUUAGCCUUGGAUAAGAUUAGUUAAAUCACUUGAUCAUUUUUUGAUCUUAAUAAGGUAGGGUGGUUAUCAGAAUACACUAUGGUGCCAUUUCGGAGCUGGUGAUCUGGAACUCUCCAUAGGUGUCGGCCUUGUGACAGAUGAGUUGGCGUAGGGCAAAAUCGUCUCUAUCAAAUGUCGAUAUACAAGGAGAACCAAACAUUCAUCUCUUUCUACCUUUUCACAAGACUAUAGUUAUUAAUGUUUCAGAGACAAGAGAGGAUGAAAAAAGAAUCGUAAUCUCUCAAUGUCACAUAUAGUAUCUCGUGUAUGUGUCCACGUGUAUGUGUCCAUGACCGUCACAUCAUAUAAACAUCAUGUCAUUAGCCCCUAGGAGGUCCGAUAUAUUUAUAGGUGAGAGUUGAGGAUCAAUGAUAAGUAAUUAGGAGAGUUUCUCCUAUCAAGAGCGUCCCUUAAGAAAUCAUACUAUAAUCUGAAUAUCCUUUAUACUGGCUAAUAUCCGUUAUCAGAAUUCAAUCAAUUUUAUUAUAUAUCUUAUUCAAUUAUAAAGGGUCACAUAUUUUGAUAUUCUCCUACUUAGCUCAUAUAUUCUCUAUCUUUGCCCAUAGUUUGAUAUUCCUUUUUAUAGAUUAAUAUUCGUAAUCAAAAUCUAAUUAAUUUUAUUAUAUAUCUUAUUCAAUUAUAAAGAGUCCUGUAUUCUAACAAUUUUGAUAUGACAAAUUGAAAAGAUGUUUUGAGUUACUUUGCAUAAAGAGCUAGCUAGAUCAAGUAUAAAUCCCUUAAUAUGAGAGAAUAAUUCUCCAAUACUGAAAAAUAAUAAAGAGUGAGAAGAAACCUUUAUAAAGGUGAGAUAUAUUACUCAAACUAUUUAAUUCCGUAAAAGGAUAUUUAUACUAAUUAUAAUGCUUGUCAAUAUGUUAAUCAAAUAUAAUCAAUUCUAAAUCAGGAUGCACCUUCUUAAUCUUAGUAUGGAUAUAAUAAGUUAAUAAUUGUGAGAUGAAUGACUUUCUAUUUUUAUGGUGAACAUGAUCAUCUAAUUACUAUUAAUUUCUAGAUAGAAGUUGCUUGAGGCUUUGUUUCAUAGAUAGCAUAUGUUUGUAGCAAUUCUAAGUAGCAAGAUAGUUGACGUGUUUGCGAGUCUCUAUCAGUUCCCUAUUUGAUAAAAAUCUAUUGAGUAGAUUCUCAAGUGAACAAUGAGCAAUUUUGCCAUUCAUAUCAUAAAUAGUUGAUGCUUAUGAUGAUAUUUAAGAUUACAUGAACAUUUUAUUGUUGACUUAAACUUGAUAAUUAGAGUAGCAUAGGUAUUAAUCCAUCAAAUUUUAUGAUGAAUAAGUUGAUUUCUAGCAGUAAUUCAUGCAUGUUGGGUCUUUUAUAAAAGAAAAAAUUCUAGUAUUAUUUUUUUUUAUUGAUGAAACCUUCCAUAUUCAUUUUUACUUAGGUUUUUUUUAUUUAGACAAAAAACACUCUUAUAUUUUUUGCUUAUGUGACUUAAUCAUAGAUAUUAUUUAAAUAAAUUAUAAUUUGAUAAUUAAUUAUAAAAAAAACUAAAAUAAAAAAUAGAUAUUAAUCAUCUUCGAUGCAUAUCUAUUGAUUUUAAAAUGAUUAGCAUAGUUCUUUUUUUUUUUUUUUUUAAUUAUGAUAAUUAAUUAUCAAUUUUUUAAUAGCUGAUCAAGUCAUUUUUAAUAGAAGAUUAAGGGUAUAUUUUUGUUCAUACUAUAAAAAAUAAACCCUAGAUAAAAAUAAAUAUAGGGAUGCUAUCCGAUAAAAAAAUAAUAGUGCAAUUUUUUUCUAAGAGAACACCUUUUAUUAUCUUUAGUUGGCACGCAAUAAAAGUUUUUUCUCCCCUCAACAAACUAAAAGUUGACGAAGCAAAAAAAAAGACGCCUGCGGUCGCAGUAAUCUCCGCCCGAAAAAAAAUUCUCGAACACGGUAACGCACUUAUAGGGUUUAAGACGCAGGUACUUCCGGCCUAAACGCGCUCUUCUAUACGCAGCUACGCCACCUUCGCUAGGUUUUGGGAAAGCGAAGGAACCUACAAAGAAGAAGAAGAAGACGAUGACAUUGAUGAAUAGGUCGCCCUACGUCUCUCUCUUGUCCAAAGCCCAUGCCUUCGUCCCUUGCUGUCGUCCGGCCGAUGCUGCCCAUUUUCUCGCAACCCAUUCUUACUCCGCCGCCUCCGGUGCUCCACAGAGCAGCCUUAUGGCUGAAUACCUGGUCAGCUCCUGUGGCUUCGAUCCUGAUCAGGCGGCCAAAGCCUCGAAGCUCCUUGGCCACGUCGAAUCCCGCCACCAGCCUGACUCCGUCCUUGGCUUAUUUAAAAGCUACGGUUUUGACAACACCCAGGUGAAAAAGGUCAUAUCUACAAACCCCCGGUGGCUUCUCCUCGACGUGGAGAAGACCCUGGCCCCAAAGUUCCGAGCUUUGCAGGAUCUGGGCUUCUCCUGCUCCGACAUCACCCACCUCGUCAGAUCGAAUAACCACGUCAUCAGCCACAAAUCCCAGAACAUCUUGUCCAAGAUCCAAUUAUGGCAAGGCCUCCUGGGGUCCAACGACUUACUGAUGAAGAUAUGGAAGAGAAACAGGUGGUUUCUCGGGUAUAGCUUCGAGAAGACGAUCCAGCCUAGCAUUGAAAUUCUAAGGGAUUGCGGGAUCACGGAUCAGAAGCUCUCAAUGAUCAUACCGCAAUAUCCCCUCCUUAUAACCCGGAAUGCUGAAACCCUGAAGGCGUUAAUCAGUCGUGUCGAGGGUUUGGGAGUACCUCGCACCUCGAGGAUGUUCCUCCUGAUCCUGAGUGUGCUCCUGAGCGUCUCCGAGAAGAACUUCAAGGCUCACUUGGAGUUCUUCAAGGGCUUCGGGUGGUCCGAGGAUGAUUUCCUUGCUGCAUUCAGAAAGGCUCCUACGUUUGUGCAAUUAUCUUUAAAGAGUUUGCAGAGGAAGAUGGAGUUCUUGGUAAAUGAAGCAGGAUGUGCUCCAUCUCAUCUUGCACUUCGGCCAGAUAUUUUGUUGUGCAGUUUGGAGAAAAGGUUGAUGCCAAGGCAUCAGAUUGUGACAGGCCUGAAGUCUAGGGGAGUUUGCAUCAGUAACCUUAAUAUGUCUACAUACAUGAAAUAUCCAAAGAAGAAAUUUGNNNNNNNNNNNNNNNNNNNNNNNNNNNNNNNNNNNNNNNNNNNNNNNNNNNNNNNNNNNNNNNNNNNNNNNNNNNNNNNNNNNNNNNNNNNNNNNNNNNNNNNNNNNNNNNNNNNNNNNNNNNNNNNNNNNNNNNNNNNNNNNNNNNNNNNNNNNNNNNNNNNNNNNNNNNNNNNUGGAGUUCUUGGUAAAUGAAGCAGGAUGUGCUCCAUCUCAUCUUGCACUUCGGCCAGAUAUUUUGUUGUGCAGUUUGGAGAAAAGGUUGAUGCCAAGGCAUCAGAUUGUGACAGGCCUGAAGUCUAGGGGAGUUUGCAUCAGUAACCUUAAUAUGUCUACAUACAUGAAAUAUCCAAAGAAGAAAUUUGUGGAGAAGUUCGUCAACUGCUACAAGGAGUAUCCAGAACUCGUUGAGUUGUAUAAUGGAGUCCCCAAAAACAGAACUGCAUUUGAUCGUGGAAAUGCAUAAUGCAUAGCACAAGCUUUUGUACCAGCAAGUUAUGUUUCCAGGUUCCAAUUUUCCACUAUCCGCAUAACAUGAACUACAGUUUGCAACCAAAUAAUUCCUGCCAUUUACUUCGUUUUCUGUGAAUGUAAGAUGAGUUUGGAUGCUUACAUGUAGUAAGAAAAUGAAGAAUGUUGAGAAGAUUUGUGAUGAUAUUGCUGAUAGAGUUAAUUGCUUGUUGAUAAUCACUUGUGUAGACGCCACAUGGAAUUGUUAUUCUUGUCCCAUUCGUUUUAAGUCUACUGGAAGAUAUCAGACUUAUGUAGGUUAUUGGACACGUGAAGUUUUGAAUUGAUUUAACUAUGGAUAUUUGGUAAUUUAGGUUUCGAGUUUUGGUUAUUUUUUCAAAUGAUAAGAAGUAGGAUUCUUUUGGAUGGUAUGGUAGGAUGCUUUGGUGAUUUUGAGCUGGAUGAUGAGGCUUUUGAUUUAGGGCAAGGGUUGGUCACCUUUUAUAUAAAUUUACUAAAGUCCCUCCUAUCCAAAACCAAACCCAAAACCCAAAAAAGGGAGAUGAGGUUGCGUUUCAAUUUUUUGUAUAUUUUGUUUAUCAAACUUUGUUCUCUUUCUUAAGUGAUUAGUGUGAACCACUUCUUUCCUCUUGCUGAUCGGUCAAUUCAGUUGAAAUUUCUCUCUUUAUAAAUGCAAAACCUUAAUGAAUACCAGGUUGCCACCAUGAUAGUUUGAAGCUGACUGUCUUCUUGAGAAUGAAGUUGUAACUCUUAAAUUUAUGAAGGAAACCACACUUUCCGUAUUGACAAUGUUUUGUUCACAAUUUAAGCACUGGAAUAUACAAGUUGUCCUUUACCAAUUUAAGCAUUUGAGUACGGGGGUGGUCUAAACUUCAUGCACUUCAGCUCAGACUGGCCAACUCCAUGUGGUCCUGCCUCUGAGACCAAGUUCCACGUGGCUGCCUAAGGUCCUGCCCAUUAAGACUGCUAGGGACUGGUUUGCAAUGUAAUGAAGAAAUGAUUGUAAAUUUCAAGGACUGAAUUGUAAAUCGAUAAUAACUUUUUUGAACUCUGUAUCCAAUUUGGAUGAGCAAUAUAGUGUUAGGUGCCUCAUAAAACCUAGACUCUCUUUAUGCUGACAUGAUGAAAUUUUAAUAUGCUGUUAUUAGUUCAUAUUUCUUUUGGCAAUCAAUUUUAUAUUGAUGCGUCUAUUAUAGCCUAUAAUUGACGCAUAUUAAUAUUUGUUAGAAGUUCCAUGAUGCAUAAGCUGGACGCUUGAGCAUGUGAAAGGAUGUUGUUGCAUGGUUGUGCAGCAUGUUGAUAUACACAUAUAUGGAUGAUUGAACAACAUUGUCAUUAUUUGUAGGCAAUUUUGAAAGGGAUUAUCAGUUGUCAAAAAAGCUUAUAAGAUAUUCCUUGCAACUAUAGAAAGACAUAUUUCUACUGUUUCCCGGCACCACUUGAUCCUAGUAAUGGACUAAUAGCAGGGAAUGUGAUAUGAAUUUAGUCUAUAAGGAGGUUGCUUCAUCCUGAGCAGUCGGACGAGUUCCGAUGCAGCAAAGUGCAUUGAUGGAUGUGCUUUUCUCAUGAUGAAUUUGUGAGAUCUUUUAUUCUAAUUUAUUCUAUUUUUCAUUAUUAUUCUUAUCUUUAGUUGAUUGCAUGAGACACAACUAUAUUUCUUGACGUCUUGUUUCUACUAAGAUAAUCCCUAUCGAUCUGAAAAUUACAUAUUUCAGAUGAUCCAUAGCUGGGGAGCUAAGGAUUGAGAAGUGUUCGGUUCUAGCAAUGUGAAGAUUGUUAUCUGAUAUUUAAUAAAAGUACAGUUAGAUGUGUACGCCAGUAAUAAUGAUGAGACUUGAUGGGAUCCAUUUUCCAUUAUUGUCAAUGAAUAUUAUUAUUGUGCUCUGUGCAUUACAGAUGUCUGGAUCAUGAGUUUACGGAGGGUGUGAUCCUCUCAUUUUUUGGGUUGGGUCAUAUUGAGUGUUCGGUGCAUAAAAUGUUCUUAUCAAUCAAAAGUACUUGAUUGUUAGCUCCAUUUACAGGGUGUUUGGUGCAAAAGAAGUGGAUUAGCAGUGAUCUCGGAAAUUGCUAUUUUAGUAGGUGUUACUGUCCAGAGGUUGUGUUGUAUCGAUCAUAAAUUGUUCUUAUCAAUAAAAAAUACUUGGGGUGUUAGCUCCAUUUGCGGAGUGUUUGGUGCAAAAGAAGUGGAUUAACAAGGUUCUUGAAAAUUGAUCUUUUAGUAUGUGUUACCUUCCAGAGGUUGGCAUCUGCAGUGUGCUAGUUUGAUUACAUUAGUAAGGAUAUGUUGAACAAAUUGGAAAAGGAAAUAUAAUUCUAGGAGUUACUUUGCUAGGGAGAAUUCAACCAUUGCCUGCCUUCAGGUAAUGAAAGAGAAAUGAGACUUGCUGACUUCUUGUAGGCCAAUUUCUCCCUUCCCAAAAUGUAUUCUGUCCGCUGUCAGAUGACACCAAUUUCAGCCUUCCUGAAAUGUGUUUUACCCACAGUCAGACUGAAGUCAAGAUAUUUCUAACAGUUAGAAUCUUUGGUUAUAUUUAUGAUAUGUAGUUAUACUGGUUUAUGUACUAUGAAAAUCCACAUUUCAACUUUUUUGGCUUUUGCUACUAUAUGUUUCUUUUGCAUCCUUUGUUUGGUGUCUUAUUUUUGUCAAAGCUGUAAUAGCUAUCAAACAAAAAGUUGAUCUGGAAGUCUAGUUAAUAUGUCAAAUUAUGCAGGUUGUUUUUAUGUUACAAACUUGUGCUUCAAUGUGACAAUAGAGCAUCUCUAAAUUUAUUGCCUAAUGGCAACAUGUAAUCUCAAAUUUGAUUCCAGCCCUUGGUUCUCCAGAUUCAUAUAUGCUAUUCUGUUGUAGUAUAGCAUGAUAGUCUCAGCCAUUCGUCCGAUUUUUAAUAUUUUGGUGUGUUCCUUUUCUUAAGACUGUUGUUUUGUUGUCUCUGGACAAAUACGUCAAUAUAACUUCCCUGAGGUAUUGUAGCAUGCUAAUCUCCAGUAAAUGUUGUAUGUGUCCUAGUUCCAAUCUUUUGCAUUGUGCUUUUUCUUAGGUAUUCAUACAUUAUUGGCCUUUUAGAAUUAACAGCAGUGUAUCUGGCAGGUAGGUACUUGGUUAAAUUAAACUGAAGCACUGCUUACUCUUGUUGAGUUAUCAGGAUCAAGAGAAGUUUUAGAUGACUUGCACCCUAUGGCAUGUUGAUCAUCGUAGAGAUGUUUUCCUGACAAAGGCUUGACUCGUUAUCAGCGAAGAAUUAUACAUGUACUGUACUGCCUCAGAACUAGCUGCUGGAUAGGGUCAGUGAGAGAAUAUCAAAUAUGUGACCCUUUAUAAUUAAAUAAAAUAUAUAAUAAAAUUGAUUAGAUUCUGAUAACGGAUAUUAGUUAAUAAAAAAAAAGUUUAUAUUAUAAUAGGAUUUCUUAGGGUGUAUCCUUGAUGGGAGGAACUCUCCUAAUUAUUUAUCAUAGACUUUCUACUCUCGUCUAUAAAUGGAUAGGACCUCAUAGAGACUAAUGACAUGAUAUUUAUGUGAUGUAACGGUCAUGAACACAUACACGAGAUACGAUAGGUGACAUUAAGAGGUUACGAUUCCGAGAUACGAUAGGUGACAUUAAGAGGUUACGAUUCCUUUCUAAUUCUCUCUUGUCUCUGAACCAUUAAUAACUAUAGUCUUGUGAAAAGGUAGAAAGAGAUGAAGAGUGUUUAGUUCUCCUUGUAGAUCAGUUUUGCUGACAAACAAAUUCCUUGAUUUGUGCGCUGUAGUAGUAGGGUCAUUUAGACUUUGCAGCAUCAGAGAGUUCUCUUCCCAACUCCUGUUUACUUAACAAUGAGCAUGAAUAUACGCCUAUGACAAAAAAUUCCAUUUGGUGCCUUCAAAAUAUUGCUGCAGAAACUAAAUCCGGUGAAGAAAUGAAUGCCAUUUGCCCUUCACUUGCAUCUCAUAGGAGCAAAAGAAGGGGAAAAUAAUCUGGGCAUAAAAUCUAGUUAGCUAGAAUUUGGAUGCUUUCAUCUCAAGAAAUCUCUCUUUUUAUCUUUUCUUAAAGAUCAGUAGAUUCAAUGUACAGGGCAUUGCAGUUUUCUUCCUGUUUCUUCCUUUCUUUCUUUUCUUUUGGAAAAACAAAAGGAUGAUGAGAAUAUGCACAUUUUGGUUAUAUAAUAUCAACAAUGAUGAGAAUAAGAACAAUGAUAUGAAAGCAGACAGGACCAAUAAAUAAGUUUUCAGAAAUAACAACUGAUAAGUCGUCAAAUGAACACCUGUGCUGUGUACAUCAGUCUUCAGAGUUUAAAUUCCACAUCAUACUUCACUUGAUCAACAUCAAUAUGGUGGAAACAAAUUUAAAAGAAAGUUCAGUUUGAUAUGAUGUAAAACAAGAUAUCUCAUUAUUGGUUUGAUCUAAUUACAAAAAGUUAUGCUCAUAUCUAUAUCAUUUCUUAGUCUAGAGUAUAUUUGAACACACAACAAUAACAAUAAUUGCAAGCCAUAAUGAGCAGAUUCAACAUCUCACCUAUCAGAAAUCUUAAAUCGGGAAGCAGGGAUGAUACCGCAUUACCAACAAAACCUGAUAAUAACGAGAAAAAUAAAUUGAUCUUGUUUAGCGAACAAUUUUAGAGGGCAUAAAAACCUAGAACAUAUAUAGUUCUACAAGUUGAAAGGAUCUCAGUCCUUUUAGAGACAAAAUCCCCCACAAAAAGUAUCAACCCUUGCAAAGAGCAUCAGUCUUUUCCUACUGAAAGAACCUGACCCUAUCCAGCAGCUAGUUCUGAGGCAGUACAGUACAUGUAUAAUUCUUCACUGAUAACGGGUCAAGCCUUUGUCAGGAAAACAUCUCUACGAUGAUCAACAUGCGAUAGGGUGCAAGUCAUCUAAAACAUCUCUCGAUCCUGAUAACUCAACAAGAGUAAGCAGUGCUUCAGUUUAAUUUAACCAAGUACCUACCUGCCAGAUACACUGCUGUUAAUUCUCAAAGGCCAAUAAUGUAUGAAUACCUAAGAAAAAGCACAAUGCAAAAGAUUGGAACUAGGACACAUACAACAUUUACUGGAGAUUAGCAUUCUACAAUACCUCAGGGAAGAUUAUUUUAACGUAUUUGUCCAGAGACAACAAUACAAUAAAGUCUUAAGAAAAGGAACACACCAAAAGAUUAAAAAUUGGACGAAUGGCUGAGACUAGCAUGCUAUACUACAACAGAAUAGCAUAUAUAAGAAUCUGGAGAACCAAGGGCUGGAAUCAAAUUCGAGAUUACAUGUUGCCAUUAGGCAAUAAAUUUAGAGAUGCUCUAUUGUCACAUUGAAGCACAAGUCUCAUUUCUCUUUCAUUACCUGAAGGCAGGCAAUGGUUGAAUUCACCCUAGCAAAGUAACUCCUAGAAUUAUAUUUCCUUUUCCAAUUUGUUCAACAUAUCCUUACUAAUGUAAUCAAACUAGCACACUGCAGAUGGCAACCUCUGGAUGUUAACACAUACUAAAAGAGCAAUUUCCAAGAACCUUGUUAAUCCACUUCUUUUGCACCAAACACUCCGCAAAAGGAGCUAACACCCCAAGUAUUUUUUAUUGAUAAGAACAAUUUAUGAUCGAUACAACACAACCUCUGGACAGUAACACCUACUAAAAUAGCAAUUUCCGAGAUCACUGCGAAUCCACUUCUUUUGCACCAAACACCCUGCAAAUGGAGCUAGCAAUCAAGUACUUUUGAUUGAUAAGAACAUUUUAUGCACCGAACACUCAAUACGACCCAAUCCAUAAAAUGAGAGGAUCACACCCUCCAUAAACUUAUAAGCCAGACAUCUGUAACGCACAGAGCACAAUAAUAAUAUUCAUUGACAAUAACUGAAAAUACAUCCCAUCAAGUGUCAUCAUUAUUACUGGAGUAAACAUCUAACUAUACUUUUAUUAAAUAUCAUAUAACAAUCUUCACCUUGCUAGAACCGAACACUUCUCAAUCCUUAGUUCCCCAGCUACGGAUCAUCUGAAAUAUGUAAUUUUCAGAUCGAUAGGGAUUAUCUUAGUAGAAACAAGAUAUCAAGAAAUCUAGUUGUGUCUCAUGCAAUCAGCAAAAGAUAAGAAUAAUAAUAAAAAAAGAGCAUAACUUAGAAUAAAAGAUCUCACAAAUUCAUCAUGAGAAAAGCACAUCCAUUAGUGCACUUUGUUGCAUUGGAACUCGUCCGACUGCUCAGGAUGAAGCAACCUCCUUAUAGACUAAAUUCAUAUCACAUUCCCUGCUAUUAGUCCAUUACUAGGAUCAAGUGGUGCCCGGCAACAGUAGAAAUACGUCUUUCUAUAGAUGCAAGGAAUAUCUUAUAAGCUUGUUUGACGAAUACUAAUCCCUUUCAAAAUUGCCUACUAAUAAUGACAAUGUUGUUCAAUCAUCCAUAUAUGUAUAUAUCAACAUGCUGCACAACCAUGCAACAACAUCCUUUCACAUGCUCAAGCAUCCAACUUAUGCAUCAUGGCACUUCUAACAAAUAUUAAUAUGCGUCAAUUAUAGGCUACAAUAGACGCAUCAAUAUAAAAUUGAUUGCCAAAAGAAAUAUGAACUAAUAACAGCAUAUUAAAAUUUCAUCAUGUCAGCAUAAAGAGAAUCUAGGUUUUAUGAGGCACCUAACACUAUAUUGAUCAUCCAAAUUGGAUACAGAGUCCAAAAAAGUUAUUAUCGAUUUACAAUUCAGUCCUUGAAAUUUACAAUCAUUUCUUCAUUACAUUGCAAACCAGUCCCUAGCAGUCUUAAUGGGCAGGACCUUAUGCAGCCACGUGGAACUUGGUCGCUCAGGCCGGACCACAUGGAGUUGGCCAGUCUGAGCUGAAGUGCAUGAAGUUUAGACCACCCCCGUAUUCAAAUGCUUAAAUUGGUAAAGGACAACUUGUAUAUUCCAGUGCUUAAAUUGAGAACAAAACAUUGUCAAUACGGAAAGUGUGGUUUCCUUCAUAAAUUUAAGAGUUACAACUUCAUUCUCAAGAAGACAGUCAGCUUCAAACUAUCAUGGUGGCAACCAGGUAUUCAUUAAGGUUUUGCAUUUAUAAAGAGAGAAAUUUCAACUGAAUUGACCGAUCAGCAAGAGGAAAGAAGUGGUUCAAACUAAUCACUUAAGAAAGAGAACAAAAUUUGAUAAACAAAAUAUACAAAAAAUUGAAACCCAACCUCAUUUCCCUUUUUUGGGUUUUGGGUUUGGAUUUGGAUAGGAGAGGCUUUAAUAAAUUUAUAUAAAAGAUGACCAACCCUUGCCCUAAAUCAAAAGCCUCAUCAUCCAGCUCAAAAUCACCAAAGCAUCCUACCGUACCAUCCAAAAGAAUCCUACUUCUUAUCAUUUGAAAAAUUAACCAAAACUCGAAACCAAAAUUACCAAAUAUCCAUAGUCAAAUCAAUUCAAAACUUCAGGUGUCCAAUAACCUACAUAAGUCUGAUAUCUUCUAGUAGACUUAAAACGAAUGGGACAAGAAUAACAAUUCCAUGCGGCAUCUACACAAGAGAUUAUCAACAAGCAAUUAACUCUAUCGGCAAUAUCAUCGCAAAUCUUCUCAAUAUUCUUCAUUUUCUUACUACAUGUAAGCAUCCAAACUCAUCUUACAUUCACAGAAAACGAAGUAAAUGGCAGGAAUUAUUUGGUUGCAAACUGUAGAUCAUGUUAUGCAGAUAGUGGAAAAUUGGAACCUGGAAACAUAACUUGCUGGUACAAAAGCUUGUGCUAUGCAUUAUGCAUUUCCACGAUCAAAGUGCAGUUCUGUGUUUGGGGGCUACAUUAUACAACUCAAUGAGUUCUGGAUACUCCUUGUAGCAGUUGACGAACUUCUCCACAAAUUUCUUCUCUGGAUAUUUCAUGUAUGUAGACAUACUAAGGUUACUGAUGCAAACUCCCCUAGACUUCAGGCCUGUCAAAAUCCGAUGCCUUGGCAUCAACCUUUUCUCCAAACUCAUCAACAAAAUAACUGGCCGAAGUGCAAGAUAAGAUGGAGCACAUCUGGCUUCAUUUACCAAGAACUCCAUCUUCCUCUGCAAACUCUUUAAAGAAAAUCGCACAAACGUAGGAGCCUUUCUGAAUGCAGCAAGGAAAUCAUCCUCGGACCACCCGAAGCCCUUGAAGAACUCCAAGUGAGCCUUGAAGUUCUUCUCGGAGACGCUCUGGAGCACACUCAGGAUCAGGAGGAACAUCCCCGAGGUGCGAGGUACUCCCAAACCCUCGACACGACUGAUUAACGCCUUCAGGGUUUCAGCAUUCCGGGUUAUGAGGAGGGGAUAUUGCCGUAGGAUCAUUGAGAGCUUCUGAUCCGUGAUCCCGCAAUCCCUUAGAAUUUCAAUGUUAGGCUGGAUUCUCUUCUCGAUGCUAUACCCGAGAAACCUCCUGUUCUUCUUGCACAAGUUCACCAAAAAGUCGUUGGACCCGAGGAGGCCUUGCCAUAAUUGGAUCUUGGACAAGAUGGUCUGGGAUUUGUGGCUGAUGAAGUGGUUAUUCGAUCUGACGAGGUGGGUGAUGUCGGAGCAGGAGAAGCCCAGAUCCUGCAGAGCUCGGAACUUUGGGGCCAGGGUCUUCUCCACGUCGAGAAGAAGCAACCGGGGGUUUGCAGAUAUGACCUUUUUCAAGUGGGUGUUGUCAAAACCGUAGCUUUGAAAUAAGCCAAGGACGGAGUCAGGCUGGUGGCGGGAUUCGAUGCGGCCGAGGAGCUUCGAGGCCUUGGCCGCCUUAUCAGGAUCGAAGCCACAGGAGCUGACCAGGUAAUCAGCCAUAAGGCUGCUCUGUGGAGCUCUGGAGGCGGCGGAGUAUGAGUGGCUUGCGAGAAAAUGGACAGCAUCGGCCGGACGGCUGCGAGGGAUGAAGGCGAGGGCUUUGGACAAGAGAGAGAAGUAGG
rnacentral:lncRNA from 1 species